UUCCUUACCUGGCAGGGGAGAUACCGUGAUCAAAAUGGCGGUUCACCCAGGGCGAGGCUCAGCCAUUGCACUUCAGCUGUGCUGAAUCUUGACUGCAGUC
ensembl:snRNA U1 U1 spliceosomal RNA